rnacentral:rRNA from 1 species
GACGAACGCUGGCGGCGUGCUUAACACAUGCAAGUCGAACGCUGAAGCUCAGCUUUUGUUGGGUGGCUGAUUGGCGAACGGGUGCGUAACACGUGAGUAACCUGCCCCCUUCUUUGGGAUAACGCCCGGAAACGGGUGCUAAUACUGGAUAUUCACUGGUCUUCGCAUGGGGGUUGGUGGAAAUGGGUUUUCUGGUGGGGGAUGGGCUCGCUGCCUAUCGGCUUGUUGGUGGGGUGAUGGCCUACCCAGGCUUUGACGGGCAGCCGGCCUGAGAGGGUGAACGGGCACAUUGGGACGGAGCUGCGGCCCAGACGCGUCCGGGGGGCGGCAGUUGGGACUAUUGCACAAUGGGCGAAAGCCUGAUGCCGCGUCGGCGCGUGAGGGAUGGGGGCCGUAGAGUUGUGAUCCCGUUUCGGUCAUGGUCAAGCCGAAACAAUGGUUGUGGUGACGGUAGUGGGUAAAGAAGCGCCGGCUAACUACGUG